UACCAGCACCCCGAGUGGUCGGGACGAUUAUUGGGCCUAAAGCCUCCGUAGCCGGUCCUGCAAGUCUUCCGUUAAAUCCAGCUGCUCAACAGAUGGGCUGCGGAGGAUACUACAGGGCUAGGAGGCGGGAGAGGCAAGCGGUACUUUAUGGGUAGGGGUAAAAUCCGUUGAUCCAUAGAAGACCACCAGUGGCGAAGGCGGCUUGCCAGAACGCGCUCGACGGUGAGGGAUGAAAGCUGGGGGAGCAAACCGG
rnacentral:rRNA from 1 species